ACUCUUGCUUGCUAGCUAGCUAGCUAGCUAGCUAGCUAGCUAGCUAGCUAGCUAGCUAGCUGUCUUUGCUGGUUGUUAGUUUGCAUAACUGAUAUGUGUAUAAUUGCAAGGGACACUUCAUGUUUUAUGGAUAAUAUAAAAAUGUACAGAGUUCCUGACAGGCUGAUCAGAUUCAAUAGCAGCCUCUGAGGUUGAUAUGUUAGGAUUCUGCCUUGUAGGCUGUUUCAUAAGCAAAGCUCCUUGCAGGCAGAUUAGCAGUCAGUGCAUCAUGUAGAUGAUCAUGAGUGGGUGCGCUCUAUUCCUGACAGGCUGCUCAGAUUCAAUAGCAGCAUCAGAGGCUGAUGUCAGAAUGCUCUAUAUAUUGAUAAACGUCACAUUGUAUUUACCCCUCCCAAAAAGGAAAUGCUAAUUAGCGGCUUAUGUGGCUAUCAUACAGAACUACAAAUGCCCUUCUCAAGCUUCACGUCAUUUACCAUGGCCAUGAUGAUCUGGACGAGACUGAUGAAUCGGGGCAAAAACGCAGACCUGAAGACAUUCAAGCAGCACUUUGAGAACAAGCAUCCCAAGUCUCCAAAGGUCCCAGUACUGGUUGAUGUGCAGGCCUAAGUGACCACACACUCAAAUGGACCUACAGCUGGGAUAAGAUUCUUCCAUCAUUCACACACAGUAGACAUAGUAUAAACCAUGUUGUCAACAGUGUUGUCCUCAAUGCUUAAAUUGUAUUGUGUAUGGCUCAAUUGGUGGAAAUGCUGUGAUCACUCAUUGUCUUUAAUUGUGAUUCACAGACACAAAUUGACCACGAUUUGAAAUCUGCAACUGAGACAGAAUGAUGUCGAGGGACCCGCUGAGACCCCAUGUGUAACUGGACCUGGCUGGAUAUUUGUGACGACAACCUAUAAGGGAUGCAGAAGCACACCAGCACCCAAUUUUAUGUUUAUUCCAUGGCCAACCAUCCCUCUAGCAACCCCUUAUUCCACACUGCCUUUUAUGCCCCAUGGUCCCUCAACUUUGGACACUUUGGAACUCUCCAUCUCAUCUACCUUCAUCCAUUUUCCCUAUGCUGCUUCCUUCACUCCUCCUGAUUUGAUAACCUCUAGACUGUGACACGUUUAAAAGUGUUGUUGUGUACUGUUUUUGCCAGCUUUUUUUUUUACUCUGGUGAUGCUGUCUUCCUGCUUAUUCCGAGGUUCAGAUUGAAUACAGUGGUAAAUGUGCUGCUCACAAUUGAUAGCAGCAACAUUGACUUGUUAAAUUGACAAGAAAGCUGUUGAUAUAGUUGCGUUUCGGCAUGUCUUCCUUGUUUUGAGUGUGUUUCUCAUUCUGCUGGAGUUGACCUAGUAUUUAUAUUAAACCUGCCUUAUGCAUUCAGUUGGUUCUCCGUUUGUAACUCACCCACCAAAAAUCACUGCUGUUUUACAUUUUUUAUUUUUGCUGCUCUAAUUUCUAAAAUAGAAAAGCAGAAGAAUCUGUGUGCUCUCUGGUAGAAGAGCACCAUAUGAACGGUUUACUAUGUCCCAGGUUUGUGGCAUUGAUUAAUAUAAUUACAUUAACUCAGCUGUUUAUAUGUUUACAAGGCAUUGUUUGCUAUUUUGAUUUCUUUAAAACAAUGUGAUGGCUGGAGUUCGGGUGAUUGGAGGACUAGGUGCAUUCUUGUCAAAUAAAUAUGCUUAUUCAUU